ACUAAAUUAGGAAGGUGUUCCUGAUGUUUGGUUUCCUCAGUGUAUAUACAGUAUGAUAUAAUUAGUUAAAGAGGAAUUUCAACCUGGGGGAAUCUGUGCUUGUUUUCAUCACGCCCGAGGCAUUUCUAGGACAGGGAGGUGUGUUUCAUACAUCAUUGCUUAGGAGAAAGGCAGGCCUGGGCUUCGCACGCUGAAUGAUACACCCGAUGACGGCUUCCGGUGUAUUGAUGUGGGUUGGGUGAGACAACAAAAAUAAAUGUAGUCCUGCUUUUGUGGCAUUUGGCGACGGCUGUAUGCGGUACGGAUCAUACCGUAUGUUUUUGUGGUUGUCCUUGUUCGAUAGGAACGUCGCUGAAAGACGUCCAGCGGAUUAAUUUGCUAAAUAUACAAGCAUACAAAACAGUUUCCGGUCUCUGAAAGACUACAACUUUGUGCCCCUGGUCCCCCAUCCCUCCCCCAAGGGGGUGGGUUUUAAAAGGAAGUGAACAUGAACAAUUUAAUCCUUUGGGCAAAACUGAAAGAACUGACCAGUCAUGUCUUCAAGUGAUUCUCUCAACAACACGAAUUCGACCAUGGAACAUUUUGUUAUGUUCGGUUAACUACAUGGUGACUUUCAACCGGAAUAUAGCGAAGAGGAUUCGAAAACAAAGAGUUUGGAUUUAGCUAACGUUAAAAGCUCAGCUACAGCCGAUGCCAGCCCCAAGAAGGCAGAUGACAAAUACGGUGCCUAGAUAAACAAUAUCGUGAUGACUGGGCUUCCUCCUGGAGUGGAUUCUAGAUACAGAAACAGAAUUCCUGCGUGUCAUUGUAGCAGAACUGUAUUCCGUGAACUGUAAACCCUCUAGUGGGAUUAGACAUUAUGCUGGAUUUCAAGCCGAUGACUCUUGACGAGCUGAACGGCAGUUUGAUCUUGAACGACACUCCUCCUCACAGCUUUACAAAGUAUUCCCUUGAACUUUACACCGAUCAAACUGUGUUGUCUUACUGUAUGUUUCUUUGGGACAUUUUCCUCAUGGCCACCGGUUUUCUUUUAAUUACAGAUUGUUACAUUAGAUAAUGUGAUUUAACCAAAGAUCAGUGUAGCACAGAUCAUUUUUCACCGGCCUCGGUGACGCCGUCUUCGUCCUCGACUCAAGGAAACGGGGAAUCUCAAGUGUCCCGUGUCCAGUUGAACGGUGAUCAGUUUUUAAAUUUAGAAAAUGCUCCUCCAUUUUAUUAAAAUGUUUUUUUUUUUUA